UACGUAGGUGGCAAGCGUUGUCCGGAAUUAUUGGGCGUAAAGAGCUCGUAGGCGGUCCGUUAAGUCGGAAGUGAAAUCUCAAGGCUCAACCUUGAAAUCGCUUUCGAUACUGGCGGACUUGAGGCAGGUAGGGGAAGGUGGAAUUCCUGGUGUAGCGGCGAAAUGCGCAGAUAUCAGGAGGAACACCGGUGGCGAAGGCGGCCUUCUGGGCCUGUUCUGACGCUGAGGAGCGAAAGCGUGGGGAGCAAACAGG
rnacentral:rRNA from 1 species